UACAGAGGGUGCAAGCGUUAAUCGGAAUUACUGGGCGUAAAGCGCGCGUAGGUGGUUUGUUAAGUUGGAUGUGAAAUCCCCGGGCUCAACCUGGGAACUGCAUCCAAAACUGGCAAGCUAGAGUAUGGUAGAGGGUGGUGGAAUUUCCUGUGUAGCGGUGAAAUGCGUAGAUAUAGGAAGGAACACCAGUGGCGAAGGCGACCACCUGGACUGAUACUGACACUGGAGGUGCGAAAGCUAGGGGAGCAAACGGG
rnacentral:rRNA from 1 species